rnacentral:rRNA from 1 species
CAAUAGCGUAUAUUUAAGUUGCUGCAGUUAAAAAGCUCGUAGUUGGAUUUCGGGUGGGAAUGGCCGGUCCGCCGUUUCGGUGUGCACUUGCUACGCCCACCUUGCUGCCGGGGACGUGCUCUUGAGUUCACGCUCGGGACACGGAGUCGGCGAGGUUACUUUGAGUAAAUUAGAGUGUUCAAAGCAGGCCUACGCUCUGAAUACAUUAGCAUGGAAUAACACGAUAGGACUCUGGCCUAUCUUGUUGGUCUGUAGGACCGGAGUAAUGAUUAAGAGGGACAGUCGGGGGCAUUCGUAUUUCAUUGUCAGAGGUGAAAUUCUUGGAUUUAUGGAAGACGAACUACUGCGAAAGCAUUUGCCAAGGAUGUUUUCAUUAA